rnacentral:rRNA from 1 species
GGUGAACCUGCGGAGGGAUCAUUACCGA